GUGAAAUUGAGAAACAGGUUAAUAAAACGACAAUCGAGGCUACAGCAUCACUGCCUGCCUCCUUUGCAUAGUUGUUGUAACCCAUAUGGUGUUUUAUCAGGAACAGUCAGUGAUCACACAUACCAUAUGUGCAGCAGUAUCUAAGCUUAGUGAGCUGGGAGUUGCAACUACAAAUUACUUUACAGUUAGCGGUGUUCCUUUGAGCCAAAGUGGUAUUAAUUUUAAUUAGAACUGAAUGAAGACUACAAAAAAUAUUCACAUUUGUUUCAGUAAAGCCCCUCGAAUUCCCUCUGACUGCAUAUGGAGAGCCUUACAUUCACUUUCCAGGGAAUUUCUGUCUGCAGUAAGAGAAAGCAGUGCAAAUGCCCAGGUGGACUGCAGCACUGUUCACGCUUGGUGGGUGCUGCUAUAUGCCUGUGAGAAAAGACUUUCCAUGUCGGAGGGGAUCACUGAACCCUAAGCUGAGGCACGCCAGUUAAGCAGAAUGAAAAUAUUCAAAGCCUGUCUACAUUGGCAAUGUGGGGAACUUAGGCACUUCCUUUAGAAGACUGUGAAGACACCUAAAAUGAAAGUAUCAGGUGCAUAUGGAAAGUAAGUCAGAUUUUUCCUUCUCCUGCAAAUUUAAGAGUCUUCCCUUCCUUGAAAAAAAUCUGCCCUGCUAAUUAGCUUUGCCACCUUGCCUAGAACUGUUACAUUUGGCAGUGACUUGGCAUAACUGGUUUAAAAAAAAGUGUGUGUGUGUGUGUAUGUGUGUGUGUGUGUAUUUUCCUGAUAUAACUGCAGGGUAUCAGGUGCAGAGGAAAAAAAUACUGUUUUAAGAAAAAAAUAUUCUUUUGAAGCCUGUCUGCAUCAGAAUUAUUUCUUUCACUAUGGAGAUUAUUUACUGACUGGAUUUUCUAUUGUAUGAAAAAGUGAAAUAAUGUUGGUGGAUCUUUGUCUGUAUAGUACUAUUGGGAAAUAAGCUGCAGGUAUAGCUAGCGCGUUUAUGGAGAAAACUGGAACGAGCAAGACAUGCUUAUUAUCUUGCUGACUGGUUUGGGAACUGGACCUCUGUCUGUCUGUCUGUCUGUCUGUCUGUCUCUUGAGUCGGAA
rnacentral:lncRNA from 1 species